rnacentral:lncRNA from 1 species
UUCAUUCCAACUUCCAAAUUUAGUUUCCACAUUCAAACACAAAUGCAUUGAUUCAAUUCACAUUUUCAUUCAACCAUCAAAAUUUCCAAACAUAAACCAUUUUUUAACACAAAUACAUUUAACCAUUCAAGUCAUUUUCAUCCAACCUCUAAUUUCUAUCAUAAAUCAAAUUUCAUACAAAUUCCAUUUCCAAUUACCUUACAACCAUACAUCCAAAUUCACCUAAUUCAUUACGACCAUUGAAUUCUAGGUACAACAAUGAAAGUCCAUUUCAAACCACAACACCAUAAAAGUAAGCUUCAAAGCCAAUAAAACCACAACCUUACAUCCAAUUCCACUAGCACCCUGAAAAUUCAUAACCUACAAGAUUCAUGCAACUUAGUCCAAGGUAUAAUCUGCAUCAUAGUCCAAACAAGGUAGAAAAAUUGAAACUCAGUUCAACACAUAUCAAAUCUAUUUCACUUCAAAUUUUCGAUUCCAUUCACUUCACAUUUCACAACCUAUCACUCAACUCACUAAAGUUCCCUUCCAACAGAACCUAUUUGACUUCAUGCUUCCAACCUUCUAUCUUCAUAACAACCUAACUCACUAACAUUUACACUCCUAACAGAUUAACUUCCCUAACCAUUUUCAGCACUCCUAACUAACUCGUUGUAACAGUUUUCUCAACUAACACAACAACUCCUAACAGAAUUAGGGAAAAGCAACAAAAGCACAAAUUUUUUAGAUGAGUAUAUAAACACAAUUCACAUCACAAAUCGGAGGAUCGGGAACUCAUUUUGUAGAUUUUCAUUUCACCACGAACCUUUCAAUCUCAUAACCUACUCAACAUAGAUCUCAGAGUUCAUCACCUUCAUCACUCACCAUUUCCAAUUACAUGUGCUGAAUUUCAGUUGGGCCAUGUUGUUUGGGGUUAGACCAUUGUUGAUGAGUUUACCACACUUUCACUAGUUCACCCCCCUGUCUGUAUGUUAUUCUUUGAUUUGGGCUUCCAUUUUGGCCCAUGCGCCAAUGCACUGAUUGCACCUUUGUUUGUGCCAUUCCAGGCCCUGGUUUUUGUGCAAUUUUGAUAUAAUUUUUUCAUGUUUUAGACCAUGUUUCUUGAUACUUUUUGGUACCAAUUUCCCACCUUUUUUCCAUAUUUCUUGAUAUAUUGUUCACCAUGAAAUUUUGAUAUAUUUGG